UACGUAGGUGGCAAGCGUUGUUCGGAAUUAUUGGGCGUAAAGGGCGCGUAGGCGGUUCGUUAAGUCAGUUGUGAAAGCCCGGAGCUCAACUCCGGAGAGUCGACUGAUACUGGCGAGCUAGAGUACGGAAGAGGUAGCUGGAAUUCCCGGUGUAGCAGUGAAAUGCGUAGAUAUCGUGAGGAAGACCAGUGGCGAAGGCGGGUCUCUGGACAGUUCCUGACGCUGAGGCGCGAAGGCCAGGGGAGCAAACGGG
rnacentral:rRNA from 1 species